rnacentral:misc_RNA from 1 species
CAGACGAUUUGCGAGUGGCGUAGGGAAACGAUAGUCUUCAGCAUUUCAGUUGCACGCUUGUGAGAAUUCGGGAUGGCCGGGGUGUUCCAGUGCUCAGUGUGCACGCAGCGCUACGAUCACGGCGGCCGCCUGCCCAAGGUCCUUACCUGCGGGCACACCUUUUGCCUGCGAUGUGUCAACAAGUGCAAGCCUCAGUGUCCGGUGUGCCGGCGCAAGUGGGGCCCCGAGACUACGGGAAAUCCUUUUGACCUCGAAACCAACUACCAGAUCUUCGAAUGGCUUGAAGAAGAAGAAGGAGACACUUCCGAGGCAUCGGAGUGGUCGGACAGCGACGGCGACCAGUACUCUGAUGAUGACGACGACGUUGGAAAGACGAAAGAGUGCACCAUCUUCGUGCAGUGGGUGCCGAGCCAUUUCACGUACCGAGAGGUGAAGGACGCCUUCUCGCACUUUGGGCGCGUGCACUGGGUCCGCGUCGCAGGAUGCCAUGAGGACGGACGGCGGCGGAGCUGGGCCCACGUCACAUUCGCCUCGGCAGCGGCCACCUCCAGGGCGCUCGACGCUAAGUACGUGCAGGCGGCGUGCGGGGCUAGGCUGCCGUACAGGGCCUCAGGCUUCAGUGGCCGAGGCGCCCUGGGCGCGUCACGCCGGGCGCCGCCAUGGGGCAGACGGCGCGCCCACAGCGCGGACUCGCUGGACGACUUCGAGGACGUCCGUCGGCACCAGGAGAAGUCCAGGGGGGUGCGCCUGUCCAAGAGCACCGACAGCCUGGACGUGGCCUCGCACCGAGCUGCCGGACACUCACGGCACCGAAGCAGACCCGCCAAGAGGCUCACGCCGUCGCCACCGCCGUUUAGCAAGCAAUUGAAAUCCCUGCCCACGACGUCAAAACUAACCCAGGAGCCCGAGAAGCAACGCCUGAAGACGUCCAAGACGAUACAGACGGCGACGAAACGGAGUUCACAGCAAGAUGUACCGAGUACUUCCUCGAUGCCACAAGCAGGCUUGCCAGCAACCGACACUGCAGACACGCAGUCAGCUGGCACGUCGAAUGUUCCACCAGCGACCGCCUCCACGUCCGAGGACGCAGCCCCAAACGUGGCCAGCAACGCGACUUGCGACGCCCAAGUCGCGACGGACAGCCUUCCCCAGGCCGGGGAGCCUGCCGCAACCGCAGCCCGCCAAGCUGCCACCCCCGCAGUGGUCAUCCACAGGUGCUGCUGCACCAUCGCGUGACGGCCGUGGCGUGGCGGGUCCAGAGGCGGCCUGUUUGUUGGGCAUGCGGUUGAGCGAGGGGUUGAGGGUCGACGCCAUCGUUUUGUCCCGGGCGUGUAAUUCUCCACCCACAACUACUGCGACUAAAAUACCCCCGAGGCGUGCAUGCUUCUGGCCGAUGUCCUCGUAUCCAACGUCGUGGAGUUGGCCGAAAUGAAGGACAGACGGAAGAUGCUGCGCGCGCCGCCCUGCCUGCCUGGCAGCUCUCUCCGCUACGACACUACUGCCAAGAACAAUGAACGCAUGGACGUGUUCGUCAAGGCAGACAGGGACAACUUCAUGCCCAGUCACGUGGCGCGCCGCCCCGCCCCGGGCCCCUCCCCGCGCUCCGCGCCGGGCCCGCAACGCGCCCCGGACCGCUCGCACUCACUGUCAGGCAGCGAACGCGGGCUUGGAUCUUAUCAUGGAAACUCUCAUUCCAGGAACGUGACAUCUCGUUGAAACGAACGUGACAAAAUGUCACGUCACAAAAUGUCACGUCACAAAAUGUUACGUGACAAAAUGUCACGUUGGUUUGAGCAUUAUGUAACAUUCGUUUGGGUGUGAAUUGGCCAAAAACCAGCUUGUUCACAUUCAAACGAAUGUGACACAAUGCUCAAACGAACACGACAAAAUGCUCAAACGAACAUGACAUUUUGUCACGUUCGUUUCAACGUGAUGUCACAUUCCUGGAAUGAGAAUGGAUUUACUGACCUUGGAUCAUGACUACAAUGACUUUGACCUCGGUGAUCAUUUGUGGAGCUAUGACAACGAGGAUCAUUUUGAUGGAGACUACGCCGAUCUGUUUGGAGCAAGAUGACUCCAACGACGUGGAUUAUCUGCUUUUGGAUCAAGAUGACUCCAAUCUCGUGAUCAGCGCCGAUCUGUUUUAUGGUUAACUUCUCGGAUUUUUACCAAAGCGGACUGCUCUGCCGAUUGCGGCAUUCCUUUUGAGGAAGUGCAUUUGUCGCGAGGCUCAUACUCCAUGGUCUGAUUCACCGUCAUUUUCCGUUAUCGCGACCCACAGUUGGUUUUCCCCGGUGAAACAAAAACAGCGAAGGCGCCGCCUUUAA